rnacentral:tRNA from 1 species
GGGCCCAUAGCUCAACGGCAGAGCGGCCGGCUCAUAACCGGUUGGUUCCUGGUUCGAAUCCAGGUGGGCCCA